GCCGUUCUAGCUCAGUCAGGCAGAGCGACGGAGUGAAAUCCCGUAGGUCGGUGGUUCGAAUCCAUCGGGCGGCAC
rnacentral:tRNA from 1 species